GCGUGCAUGCUCUCUCUCAAAAAAAAAAAAAAAAUUGUAGAAUAAAAUCUUGAAUUAGAAUGAAAUUUAAAGGUUUUUUAUUUUCAUAAAAAUUACUUUUUUUUGGUAGAGCCAGUAUAAAGUCAUGACUUUUUCCUGCCUAAAUAUCACACCUAUUUAUUAAGCACUAGAUGUGUAUGAGAAGGCUAGGUAACUAAGCUCAUGUCCAAAGACCUCCUUCCUUCCGUUGGGGAAGAAUGGUAGCCUGCAGGCAGCGUGUUGUUUACACUUUGAGGAGAGUAGAGAAAUUUUAGAAGUAUCUGUUCCCGUGUAGUAAGAACUCAUCAAAAAUUAGAAUAAAAGGAUCAUAUGGCUCAGUUAAGUGCCAGCUUGGAUUGAGGUGGUCCUAUGGCUUCUUAACUUUAUCCAACCACGCCCAAAAGCCCACAAGGGUAGCCAAGUGCACAUUACCCUGGGUGGGGCCCAGGGAAGCUGGAACAAACAGGUUCUAGUGCAGUAAAGGGUCGGAGAAGACAAAGGACAAAGGACGGGCUUGUGAUACAAAUUUGAGAUCCUGCUGUUAGAAGAGAUUGGGUAGUGAGGAUUCCUAAGGAAUAGUUAUCAGAUGGAUGAUUUUGGUGGAGAAAAGCCCGCCGGAAAUAAAUAGGUCGCAGUUGGAAGCUUUGGGAGGGUCGUCAGCUUGAGUACUGACAUCAUUGAGGAGUAAACCGGUGGACUCAUUGGGCAGAUUGAGAGAAAGUCAUGGCAGUGCAGAAAGUGGAGAGAAUGAUAUAUAAGGAUUAACUUGGCUGUUCUUAACCGGGGGAUGUUUUACCCGUCACGCAACAUUUGGUGACGUCUGGAGACGUUUUUGAUUUUUGUAGCUGUGGAGGUGCUGCUGGCUCUGGUGGGUAGAGGCCGGGGGUUGCUGCUUCAACACCCUAAAAUGCAUAGGGCAGCCCCCUCAUGAAGAAUGAUCCAGUCCAAGAUGUCAGUACAGUGAUUCAAUCCGAGGUUGAGAUGCCCUGGAUUGUUUCUCCUCCCUUCCAUUCUGCUCUGUAGAAUUCUGCACAUCUGUUCGUUCUUUUGUUCGGUGAUCAUUUAUGGAGCUCCACCAAUGUGCCAGGCACCGUGCUAGAUAGGCAUUAGGAACAUCAAGAUUGGUUAGACAUCACCUCCUUUUUAAAGUUUAUUUCAAAUUAUAAAUUAAUACACGGGUAUAUUCUUAUAAGUAAAAAAAAAAAUCAGGAACAAACAUGUAAAGCCAGUGGUGACUUUGACUACCACCUUCAGUCUCUGUUCCUUCUCCAGAGGUACCCAGAGCUGUUACUUUGGUAUGUGUAGCCGAUUAUUAGGUCACUUCCCCUGCAUCCAUUUUCUUUCCUUGUCUUUUAUGCUACGCCAAGAAGUUUACUUUCGAAUAUUUGUACUAGGCUGCACCUUUCUUAAAAUGGGGACCAGGUGUUAGGUUUCUCUUUUUGACUUCUCAUUAUAAUAUACGUGGUAUGUAAAAAAUAUAUAAAUAUAAAUAUAAAUAUAAAUAUAAAUAUAAAUAUAUAUAUGUAGUAUACAAUAAAUGUUUGAUGCGUAAAGAAUGAAAUGAAUUGAUAGAAAAGCAGCAGUGGGGAGAGCAAAGAGAAUGCCAAGUCCUAGUAAUGGCCUUUUAUAGGCUUUGGAAGGCUGUGGGGUAUGUUUAUGGGGAAAAUGAAUUUAUGUUAGGAUAUAGAAAUACUGAAAGAGUGAGGAAAAAUUCAAAGCUGUACAGGUAUGAAAGGGUUUCCUGGGGGCCCAGGUGCUGAGCUGGUACAUAGGCAAAGGGGUUGAGAAGGACCAGAGAGCUUCAUUGUAUAGGGUUCAAGAGUCAAGGAGGGGUAGUAGGGCACCGGUCUUUUGAAGGUUAUUGCAAGUUAGCAGUGAAGAAGAACUUCCCAAUGUAGGAGCUUUUCAUAGAACUGGAAGAGUCCAGAAGUUCCUUUUGGAGUGUGAUGUGAUAGAAGCCUUCGUAGUUCUGUUACGUUCUAAAGGAAUUCUGCUUGUGCACGUGCUUGGAGAUACAUACCUCUUUAUAUACCUAAAGGCCCUUUGUUUUUCACUGAACAGAAUGUCUUAGGGAACAUUUUGUUUCAGUUUAUGCAGAUCAACCUCAUUCUUUUGAAAUGACCACAUAGUAUUCCAUAGAAAGGUUUUUUUUUUUUUUUAAAUCAUGAUUUGUUUAAACAUUCCUAUUGCUAGACAUUUAGGUUGUUCUCAGCGUUCUGCUACUAUAAGUGGUGCUGCUUGUGGCUGUGUCCUUGUGCACAUAGUGAAAUUUGCUCUUGUUUUAUGCGGGGACCUGAAGUUGGGGGCAGGGUCAGGGAAAGAGGUAAAGAGACAUGGAAGGAAGACAGACAUGUGCACAGAGGGCGGAGACAGAAACCAGGACUGUGAACAAAAUCCAAAACCGCCCCAGAGAAGAUGGAGGGAAAACAAAGGAAAACAGACACAAGGAAGGUAGAUACUGAGACCCCAAGUGGAUGCAUUUUUCAUAUCAUAGGAGGUAAAACACAUGUUGGGUCCCUUUGUUCAUCCCUCUCCCUCUUUUCCUCCCUCCCCCUCCUCCCUCCGUUUCCCUUCCUUCUUAGAAUAAAAAAGUUAAGUGUAAUACAGAGGUUGUGAAUUAGCACAAAUCGUCAAGUGCAAAAGUUAAAGCUUCAGAGUCUUCCUCAGUGUGUAUGUACGUAGUACUUAAAGCCAAGUGCUUUGAACUCCUCGGACACGGUGUGUUGGAAUUGUUAUUACAAUAUUGAUUUAUCUAUCGCCUGGCAGUCCCUUUCCAGGUCUAAAAUUCUGCGUUUGAAUGUAGUGUACAUGUUUUAGUAUUUCUGUAAGAACUGUAUCUUCUGCAUUUCCUGCUUUUGGAUAUUAAAUCUGUAAAGUUAA